AAACGUAGGGGGUGCUUCCAUCUGGAAGAAUCUGGAGACAGGUGCUGCAUGGCUGUCGUCAGCUCGUGUCGUGAGAUGUUGGGUUAAGUCCCGCAACGAGCGCAACCCUUGCCUUUAGUUGCCAGCAGUUCGGCUGGGCACUCUAAAGGGACUGCCGGUGUUAAACCGGAGGAAGGUGGGGAUGACGUCAAGUCCUCAUGGCCUUUAUGACCAGGGCUACACACGUACUACAAUGGCCGAUACAAAGGGCAGCGACACUGCGAGGUGAAGCCAAUCCCGUAAAAUCGGUCUCAGUCCGGAUUGGAGUCUGCAACUCGACUCCAUGAAGUUGGAAUCGCUAGUAAUCGUGGAUCAGCAUGCCACGGUGAAUACGUUCCCGGGCCUU
rnacentral:rRNA from 1 species